AUUGAACGCUGGCGGCAGGCCUAACACAUGCAAGUCGAACGGUAACAGGAAGAAGCUUGCUUCUUUGCUGACGAGUGGCGGACGGGUGAGUAAUGUCUGGGAAACUGCCUGAUGGAGGGGGAUAACUACUGGAAACGGUAGCUAAUACCGCAUAACGUCGCAAGACGAAAGAGGGGGACCUUCGGGCCUCUUGCCUUAGGCUGUGCCCAGAUGGGAUUAGCGAGUGGGUGGGGUAACGGCACACCUAGGCGACGAUCCCUAGCUGGUCUGAGAGGAUGACCAGCCACACUGGAACUGAGACACGGUCCAGACUCCUACGGGAGGCAGCAGUGGGGAAUAUUGGACAAUGGGCGCAAGCCUGAUGCAGCCAUGCCGCGUGUAUGAAGAAGGCCUUCGGAUUGUAAAGUACUUUCAGCGGGGAGGAAGGGAAUAAAGUUAAUACCUUUGCUCAUUGACGUUACCCGCAGAAGAAGCACCGGCUAACUCCGUG
rnacentral:rRNA from 1 species